CACGAAACAAGGCGAGCUAACCAAUGAUGUUUAUUAGAUCAUAAGAUGUUACAUAAUUGAGUAAAUUAUUGGUUAGUAGUGAUAUACUUUCACGUAUUGAGAUAACUUGAUACUUUUAAAAAAUAUUAAGUAUUUAUAAAAUUAAGAAGUGAUAAGAUUUCUUAAUAAUAUUAAAUAAUAUUAAUAUUUAUUUUACGGUGUAAUUACCUAUCAUAAACUAUUUAAAUAUAUUAAUAUUGAAAUUAUAUUAACUAGAAAGUCUCAAAUAUAAUAUUAAAUUUGUAGAUAAUGUUACCAUAAGUAGAUUAAUAAAUAUUAAUAAUGAACUCGGCAAUAUUUUUUUCAACUGUUUAUCAAAAACAUAGUCAGUAGAUAAAAUUAUUGAUAUUUUCUGCUCAAUGAAAUUUAAAUAGCCGCAGUACCCUGACUGUGCUAAGGUAGCAUAAUCAUUUGGCUUUUAAUUAAAGUCUGGUAUGAACGAAUAUAUGGGGAAAAGCUAUAUAAUUAAUAUAAGUUGAAGUUAUUUAAUAAGUGCAAAUGCUUUUAUAUAAAAAAUAGACGAGAAGACCCUAGAAAUUUUAAGAAUUAAAAUAAAAAGUUUUUGUUGGGGCAACAGUGUAACAAAUAAAUUUACAUAUGAACAAGAAAGUAAUGGGAAGAAUAAAUUACUCUAGGGAUAACAGCGUAAUGUUUAAUCGUUUGCGACCUCGAUGUUGGACUAGGAAUUAUCAGCCCAGAA
rnacentral:rRNA from 1 species